UCCAAGUUCAUAACCACAAGGAUUUCAAGGUCAUAACCAUAACCAACCAUUUAACUACAUUCACAACAAAUCAUAUAAUCACAACAACCCUAAGAACACAUCAAGCACAUAUACAUGGAAAUCAACAAGAGCAAGAGAAAUAUUCAUCAUAUAGCAUGGAUUUUCAUGAUUUAUCUAUGAUUCUACAACCCUAAUCCUCUAGAAAUCUAGGGUUUCUAACUAG
rnacentral:lncRNA from 1 species